GUCCCCUUCGUCUAGAGGCCUAGGACGCCGCCCUCUCACGGCGGCAACACGGGUUCGAAUCCCGUAGGGGACGCCA
rnacentral:tRNA from 1 species